GACCCGAAAGAUGGUGAGCUAUGCUUGUGUAGGUUGAAGCCAGAGGAAACUCUGGUGGAGGACCGCUGUGAUUCUGACGUGCAAAUCAAUCGUCAAAGGUGAGUAUAGGGGCGAAAGACUAAUCGAACCAUCUAGUAGCUAG
rnacentral:ncRNA from 1 species